rnacentral:rRNA from 1 species
GACGAACGCUGGCGGCGUGCUUAACACAUGCAAGUCGAACGAUGAAGGAGAGCUUGCUCUCCGGAUUAGUGGCGAACGGGUGAGUAACACGUGACUAACCUGCCCCUUUCUCUGGGAUAACGCUCCGAAAGGAGUGCUAAUACCGGAUACGAACUCUGAACACAUGUUCGGAGUUGGAAAGUUUUUCGGAAAGGGAUGGAGUCGCGGCCUAUCAGCUUGUUGGGGAGGUAACGGCUCACCAAGGCGACGCCGGGUAGCCGGGCUGAGAGGGCGACCGGCCACACUGGGACUGAGACACGGCCCAGACUCCUACGGGAGGCAGCAGUGGGGAAUAUUGCACAAUGGGCGAAAGCCUGAUGCAGCGACGCCGCGUGAGGGAUGAAGGUCUUCGGAUUGUAAACCUCUUUCAGUAGGGACGAAGCGAAAGUGACGGUACCUAAAGAAGAAGCACCGGCUAACUACGUGCCAGCCGCCGCCGUAA